rnacentral:rRNA from 1 species
AUUGAACGCUGGCGGAAUGCUUUACACAUGCAAGUCGAACGGCAGCACGGGGGCGACCCUGGUGGCGAGUGGCGAACGGGUGAGUAAUACAUCGGAACGUGCCCAGUCGUGGGGGAUAACGUAGCGAAAGUUACGCUAAUACCGCAUACGAUCUACGGAUGAAAGCGGGGGACCGUAAGGCCUCGCGCGAUUGGAGCGGCCGAUGUCAGAUUAGGUAGUUGGUGAGGUAAAGGCUCACCAAGCCGACGAUCUGUAGCUGGUCUGAGAGGACGACCAGCCACACUGGGACUGAGACACGGCCCAGACUCCUACGGGAGGCAGCAGUGGGGAAUCUUGGACAAUGGGCGCAAGCCUGAUCCAGCCAUUCCGCGUGCAGGACGAAGGCCUUCGGGUUGUAAACUGCUUUUGUACGGAACGAAAAGGCUCUGGUUAAUACCUGGGGCUCAUGACGGUACCGUAAGAAUAAGCACCGGCUAACUACGUGCCAGCAGCCGCCGUAU